GACGUAGGGCGCAAGCGUUGUCCGGAUUUAUUGGGCGUAAAGAGCUCGUAGGCGGCUUGUCGCGUCGACCGUGAAAACCCGCAGCUCAACUGCGGGCUUGCGGUCGAUACGGGCAGGCUCGAGUUCGGUAGGGGGAGACUGGAAUUCCUGGUGUAGCGGUGAAAUGCGCAGAUAUCAGGAAGAACACCCGUGGCGAAGGCGGCUCUCUGGGACGGUACUGACGCUGAGACGCGAAAGCGUGGGGAGCGAACAGG
rnacentral:rRNA from 1 species